GCUGCGUUUGCUGCUGUGUUAGGAUGCUCAGUUUGGCUCUGUGAGGGGUUGUGGUGUUGCUGAGGACUGCGGGAGGCCGCGAGGCCAUUCAGCUCUGCCCUCUGUGAGGAGAGAGGCCGCCUUGCCGCCCUUGGGCCCACGCCCUUAUGCCGGGCUCUGUGGUGGCUCCCUGUGGCCUGGGCUGUCCCAGCCCUGAGUGAGGCCCUGCUGCCUCGGCCUGGUUCCGUGGAGCGGGGCUGGAGGUGGCCGGGGUUGGGAGGCGUCCCCUCAGCCCGUGGCCUCAUCGUGUCCUGUGGGGCCCUGCUGCGAGAGGGGCUUCUGGCUGUGGGUUCUGCCUGUUGGUAGAGCAGCUGGGGCUCUGCAGAGUUGUGAGGGGCGUGGGUGGAGUGGCUGUGUUGUUUUUUAUUUUUUCUCAUAGACAAUACAACCAAAACAGAGGGGAUGAGCGCUCAUGGUGCACAGUGCCAUUGCUCUGCCUUGGUGCUGUACUGUCCCGUGGGCAGUUUGCUGUGGCUUCUCUGGCAGUUUCCUUACUGCCCAGCUCCUUCCUGGCUGACACACGCACAGUCUUUGUGUAUGCAGCGCUGAUGGGGAGAACUGGUCAAUGCUCUGCACCGUGGGCUGCAUGGACAGAGGAAUGUGACACAGCCACCAGUCCUUGGCACUGGGGUUAUCCUGUUACAUGGGAUUGAGCCCCCAUUGUGGCACCGUAGACCUGCAGUGCUGUCACGCGUUCCUGCGCUUGAGCUAAGGAGGCUGUCCCAGCUGGUGCUCCUGAGACUGCCUGGAGUGUGAUCCAGGCCGUGUGUUUGGUCUGUAGGUUGAAUUUGGGACUGAGAGAUAAACCACCACGUUGAGUUCUUUGACUGCGUGUCCGUGACCUCUCCAUCCUGUGUAGCUGCUGUAUUUCCCACGUGUUUGCAGCACUCAUUGCAGUGUCCUUCGUGAUCCACGUGUCCCUGUGUGCCAGAAGCAUCGCGCAGUGGGACGUAAACAAGAAACAUCUUGUAGUAAAGAAGGACUUGAUGCUUCCUGGGGUGGGGAGCUGGGAGCUCUGGAGGAGGUUUCCUUUCCAGCUCAGGUUCCCAUCCCCUCCUUACAGCUACCCUGUCACCUGUGCACCCUUGUUUGACUGAUGCUUGGUCCUGUCCGCUGAGAGGGCUGGCUGAAUGGAGGCAGGCCCAUCUCCUCCUUCUUUCCUGUCCUCUAGAACAUGGUUUCAGACUUCUGCUGAAGUGUAGGCACCAACAAAACAGAAGGAGGUGGAAGGUGCCCUGUGUUUCCCUGUUAGGGGUUGUUAGAAGCUGGUGAUGAGCAGUUGCUCUUGCGGUGUCGGGGAAUUCCUGCAGUGUGUGUGUUUAUGGGAAAGCAGGGUGGUGCGUGCACGUGGGAUGGAGGUAGGAUUGCAUGUGGGGCAUUAAUUUCGGUGCUUUCCUCUCUUCUUCUGCCGCCUUCACGCGGCUCUGUCCUGAUGCUCCAUCAGAAAUGUCUUCUGGGAGGAGCUGGGAGCCUGGCAGGGUGCUUCUGCUCCUGCCAAGGGCGGGCAGGUUGCAUGAUUGAGACAAGCUGCUGUGAGAAGAGCUUUUGGCUGAUUGGAUAUUAAUUAGUUUUGGAAAGAAAUAUGAGGAAUGUUAGAAUACUAUUUUAAGCUUCAGCUUGGCUGAGGGAAGGAAGGAAGGAAACGAGGCCAUGGGGAUUAAUAAAGUGAUUUCACUGAUGUUUUUGUGGGGCAGUUAGCCUGAAGUUAGAGUGCUUUUGACUUGCAGUAUUUGGCUGAGGUCAAGCUUUCACAUCUAAUCUCCUCUCAGGGCGCUGGUGCGGUGGGUUUAUGAGGCUCAGCUUCAGGCAAGCUUCCCAGCGGAGCCUGGUGGUGCAAAAGGAGCACGAAGCUGCCAGCACCGGGGGCUCUGCAGGUGUUGUGUGCUGUGCAGCAGCACAGUCACUUGUGCACAAUGCAGUGGGGACUUGGCUGCAGGCUGCUGCACAAAAGUCGGAUGUGUCAAGCCCCUGGUUCUGGCUACUACACCCAGGCGUGAGCUGAAAAAUGAGGUUCUGCGGCCGCCCUGAGAGGUCACCUCUGCAGCUGCAGCGGCAACGCUGAGAUUUCCUCCCGACGUUUAACUCAAGUCGAUUUGUAGCUGGGUUCUGCUCAGGGCUGUGUGGCUGCACCACCUCGACUUGUGCUGGAUGCACCGCUGCUUCCUUGUGCUGGAUGCUUGCACCCACGUGCGUGUUGGUUCUUCUGCAUCUCGAGAAAGGAGAAUCAUCCACAUCUGUGCCCUUCUCAGCUGUGGAGGAAGUGCUGGGGAGGUGAUGGUGCAGGAUCUUCGGAAGGGCCAUAGGUCCUAUGGGCCAACCUGGGCUCAUCCACGCAGAGCUCCUUCUGGUGCAGCGUGUCUGCCAGAUCCCAGCUGCUGCUAAUAGACCGGCACAUGUGCAGUCCUUCAGAAAACACCCUAAGAAAUGCAAUGGAAGUCUUGCAUGGAGGAACAGACGGUCGAGCAGCUCUGCUGGGAAUGCCAAAAGGCUUUCUUGCCUUCUGCGGUUCACACAAUCAGCUAAUAGCUUUGCUGACAGAUAUUUAUCAGCCUGAGCACGCUUUCCCUGGGCUUGGAAAAAUAGAAGCCUACUCCCAGCCCCAAUAAAACUCAGCCUGAUUCCCCCGAACGAGCUCCCUGCAUAUCAAUCCUCCUCCUGGAGUCGUUAGGAGCAACAUGGCCCGAGCAGAACGCCAAGCCACCCAAGGACGUUUGGGGCAUUCUUUCCAGUGCUAAGGGGAAGGAAGAUGGAUGGACCCUCCCAGCAACCACCAGGCUCAGCCCUUUCCGAUUCCCGGUGCUGAGAAGGGAAAUUUUGCAGUGAGGGCCGUGAUUUUUGUACAUCUUUGGAGCACAGCAGGUUUGUGAAAGCUCUCUGUGUAUAUGAGCAUACAUAUAUACACAUAUGCAUAUAUAUAUAUAGCAUAUAAAUAUAUAUGUGCAUGUAUAGACUAAAAGGGAAUCAGCCACUAUUCUCUUGCUCAGGGCCAAGAUCUGCACAUUCUCUUUGGAGUAUUUCGUGCCAGAUCUUAGCUGUGAAUUAUAUCUGAAACAAAAAAAUAUGUUUCAUUACAUCGGUGCUGGUGAGCUGCUGGGGGGCUUUGGCCACUGUCUCGCUCAGGAAAUAAAAAUGACCUCAUCAGUGAGAAUUGCGGGGUGAAGGAAAGCAGCUCCAGCUCUGCUGGGUCGCAGGAAUGCAGGGGGAUGUGUGGAUGCUGAUGGAGAGGAGGUGCAGCUGGGUUGGCCGGGAAGCCCAAUGGGAAAGGAUUCCUAUUGGGAACUUCCUAACUGUUGGGAUUCCCAGAAGGAACCCAAAGCAUCACGGAGCCGAUGGAGGGUGAGGGCUGUGGGUCUGGGCAGCUCACAGGCAUUUCCCCGAGCUGUGGGUUGGGUCUGGCCACCACAGCAUCUCAUCUGCUUCCAGCCCUCUGCUCCCCUGCACACUUCCUCAUUGUUCAAGGUAUAGCACGCUCCAUUUGUCCUGUCCAGGCAGGAGCCUUCGGCGUGCAAGAAGUGAGGAAAGAUUUGUCCCUCUGGGUUGGCUUUCCAGCUCCACUGCUGCUGUCAGGGAAAUGGUGUGUCAGAGAAUCUGCCCCAAAAUGAACUCCAGCACAGCUGGGCUGAGGUUUGGGUGCUGUAGGGACCACUGAUGUAUCCCUUCAGCCUCAAUGAUGGCUGAAGGCAAACCCCAGAUCUGGCCUCAGCAGAAUCAGAACAUCUGCUUUGGCAUUGGCACUGGAGGGCUCCGCUGGGUUGAAACCCAAGUGGAUGAGUGCAAAGGACCAACGUGACAAUGAGAGGGGCAGUGUACAAUCCCAGGUGUAGAUGCAGCUUUAGGGUAUCCCAAUGGGAGCAGGAACCCCCCAGUGCCAGAGCUGCUUGGAGCUCCUUUCCUGCAGAGCUCGGCAACGGUUCCUGCUUUGGUUCCUAUUAGCAGAGCUCUGCGGUUACGCGCGCUCAUGCAGCGCAGCGAGGGGCGGAGACUUCAAAGCCAAGAUAAAUAGUCGUGGGGUCUGGCUGGGGCUCUAGGAAAACAGAGCGGGCAGGGAGCAAUUUGCUUAAUGAGCUCUCCGUUAUCUGGCAGCGCUGCCUGUGAGCGGGGCUCGGCCGUGGCUCCGCAGUUCCGAGGCUUGCCCCAUUGCCAUCCCCCAUCCCCACUCCUGCCCGGUAGCAUUGGUCACUGGCAACUGAUGCAUGGGAUGUGCCCACUUCCCUUUGCCUAUGGGUACCCCUGGGGCUCUGCACAGGGCUCGCUCUUCUCAGGGCUCUGCUUGGCUCCAGGGGCAGUGCUCGGGGUCCCUGUGCCCAUGUGAGGCUGUGUUGGUUGGUGCAGGUCUGCAGCUCUGUCUGUCCUUGCAGCCAGAGCUGGUGAGAACCAAGAAAGCCAAUAAUCUGAUAUCACCUUGAGAGGCUGCAGCAAGGUGCUCAGCUCCCUUGAUCCUCUCCUUUUGGCUGAGGAGAGGGAAUGACGGGGUAAUCCCAGAGCAGCAGGCACUGCUGAGCAUCUAAAUGAGAGCCCGUCCAUUAACGAGCCAUUGUUUACCCAUCCUCCUUCCUUUAGCAAAUGCCUCGUGCAGCACAGGGAUACCUGAGGUGGAGGAGCUCUGUGCAGGUGGUGAGACUGGAGAAUUUUGGGGAUCUCCUGCAGCAGCAGCGGCUCCUGACUGUGCCAGGACCAACUCCUUCACCCCGACUCCUUGGGAAGUGGCUGGCCAGGGCAGGCGAGCUGCAGCUGCAGGCAUCCAACCUCAGCAGGAACCUCCAGCUGGGAGAAGACAAACUCGUGCUGAAUGGUUCAGGUCCUGUUCCCUGACUGGGGUGAGCAAACAGGCAUCUGCUUGCUUUAAUCCCCGUCUGCGCAGAGCGAGGAUGUUGCUGUUCGUUGUCCAAACAGGGUUUUUGCAAAAGGAAGGAAAGAAAAAGACAAGAUAAACCAAACCCUAAUGGGGAAUCCUUUGAGAAAGCCAAGUGCUCAUGCAGGAGCUGUGGUGGCAGUGCAUGGCCUCAGCUGCAGUGUGAGUACCUCCUGCCCCACGCGGCAUCCCAAGCGCCGACCCCAGUGCUGAGCGAGCUGCUGGGCCCUACUGGGCUGGGCUUCUAGGGGUCCCCCAGCGCUGUCCCAUCCCGGUGGCUCUGUGCUGCCCACCAAGAGGGACAAAGAGCAGAAGGAAAAGUUCCCAAGGGCUCAAGAAGCCCAAAUCCCCAAAUUCCCAUUGUGUUUCCCCUUGGUUGGCUUUGCAUCUCCUUUGGGGAGCACCAAGGUCCCGUAGAGCCGCCUCCGCUCUGUGCUCACCCGUGCACGGUAGCUGCGGAGAAGCGAUCCGGGGAUUAAGUUUCCAGGAAUUGGCAGAGCCCGGCUCGGUGCUGAGCCACCAAUCCACACGAUUAAAAAUAAACACACAAUUAGGGGCGGGCUGCUCUCGGUCACAGCUGAUUUUUAUCGACCCCGGCCGGGCACUGGGCUGGAGCCGCUCUUUUUCCAUUCCUGACCCCUGGAGGAUUUGGGAAGCAGAAAGUUCGAGUCGGGGCCGCUGUGAAAUUCUGGCUGCUCCUGGAUUUUCCCAUCAGACGUACGGCUCGUUCACGUCUGCUUGCGGAGGUUGUAGGGCUGAAGGGCUCAUUGCGCAAUGCCUGCCUUCUCCACCAGCUCCCUUUCUCCGUCCCAGUGUAGGGCUCAAGGGUGUGCUGGGAUGGAGGGAGGGCAGGGAGGACGCCCACCCUGUGCCUUGCUAUGGACUGCUGCCCCAGUAUUCGCCGUUUGGUUGAGUUUUCCCAUUCCAACAGACCAACUUUGAAGGAGAAUGGCUCAGUUCACGCUUUGGGUGCAGAGAGCCCAUCGGAGCCAGCUCCAGGGGAACGGGGCCCCAUCCUGCUGCCAUGCGCUGGGCACAGUGCGGUUAUCGGAGCGGGGUGGCUCCUCACUAAGAUGGAAAUUUCUCCCCUGGCCAACGGCAGUGGUCUUGGCGCGCAUCCCUGCUCCCCGCCGCGGAGCCUCGCCACCUUCCCGGGUUCACUUUGUUCACAAAGAGCCUCAGAUAAGCUUCUUGGCAGGGUGCUGUGUUCUGCCGCCGCAUUAGCUCGGCUCAAGACGUUGUUUUUUCUUUUUUUUUUUUAAUAUUAACCUCUCAUAGCCCUGAGCAGAUGUGGCUCAGAGAGAGCGCGGGGUUGGGACGGCAUUGAUUGGGAGCGUUGGUGUCACCAGUAGUGCCACCGCAGAGCGAGGGGACAUCAGACUCAAUGAGCAGUGAUGGUGGCAGUGAUUCCCUUGGGCUGAGCCAUGCAGGGACCCAACCCCAUCCCAAGGGAUGGGCAUGGAGAUGGGGAUUGGGAUGGGAAUGAGGAUGGGGAUGGAGAUGGGGGUGGGGAUAGAGAUUGG